rnacentral:rRNA from 1 species
GGGAAGGGUGCCCUUCGGGAAUUCCGAGACAGGUGCUGCAUGGCUGUCGUCAGCUCGUGCCGUGAGGUGUUGGGUUAAGUCCCGCAACGAGCGCAACCCUAUUGCCAGUUGCUACCAGGUAAUGCUGGGCACUCUGGUGAGACUGCCCGGUUAACGGGGAGGAAGGUGGGGACGACGUCAAGUCAUCAUGGCCCUUACGCCUAGGGCUACACACGUACUACAAUGGCGCAUACGAAGGGCAGCGAUACCGCGAGGUGGAGCCAAUCCCAAAAAGUGCGUCCCAGUCCGGAUUGCAGUCUGCAACUCGACUGCAUGAAGUUGGAAUCGCUAGUAAUUCGAGAUCAGCAUGCUCGGGUGAAUGCGUUCCCGGGCCUU